UACGAAGGGGGCUAGCGUUGCUCGGAAUCACUGGGCGUAAAGGGUGCGUAGGCGGAUUCUUAAGUUAGGGGUGAAAUCCUGGAGCUCAACUCCAGAACUGCCUUUGAUACUGGGAGUCUUCGAGUCCGGGAGAGGUGAGUGGAACUGCGAGUGUAGAGGUGAAAUUCGUAGAUAUUCGCAAGAACACCAGUGGCGAAGGCGGCUCACUGGCCCGGUACUGACGCUGAGGUGCGAAAGCGUGGGGAGCA
rnacentral:rRNA from 1 species